rnacentral:rRNA from 2 species
UGGGGAAUAUUGCACAAUGGGCGCAAGCCUGAUGCAGCCAUGCCGCGUGUGUGAAGAAGGCCUUCGGGUUGUAAAGCACUUUCAGCGAGGAGGAAGGUGGUGAACUUAAUACGUUCAUCAAUUGACGUUACUCGCAGAAGAAGCACCGGCUAACUCCGUGCCAGCAGCCGCGGUAAUACGGAGGGUGCAAGCGUUAAUCGGAAUUACUGGGCGUAAAGCGCACGCAGGCGGUUUGUUAAGUCAGAUGUGAAAUCCCCGGGCUCAACCUGGGAACUGCAUUUGAAACUGGCAAGCUAGAGUCUCGUAGAGGGGGGUAGAAUUCCAGGUGUAGCGGUGAAAUGCGUAGAGAUCUGGAGGAAUACCGGUGGCGAAGGCGGCCCCCUGGACGAAGACUGACGCUCAGGUGCGAAAGCGUGGGGAGCAAACA